rnacentral:rRNA from 1 species
AGAGUUUGAUCCUGGCUCAGGAUGAACGCUGGCGGUAUGCCUUACACAUGCAAGUCGAACGGGAAUUAGCUUCGGUUAAUUCUAGUGGCGGACGGGUGAGUAACACGUGAGAAUUCGCCUUUAGGAGGGGGAUAACGGAUGGAAACAUUCGCUAAAACCCCAUAUGCCCCAGGGUGAAAAAGAGGAGAUAAGUUAAACUGAAUCACCUCUGCCUGAAGAGAAGCUCGCGGCUGAUUAGCUAGUUGGUAGGGUAAUGGCCUACCAAGGCGACGAUCAGUAGCUGGUCUGAGAGGACGAUCAGCCACACUGGAACUGAGACACGGUCCAGACUCCUACGGGAGGCAGCAGUGAGGAAUUUUCCACAAUGGGCGAAAGCCUGAUGGAGCAACGCCGCGUGCAGGAUGAAGGUUUUCGGAUCGUAAACUGCUUUUAUAGGUGAAGAAUAUGACGGUAACUUAUGAAUAAGGGUCGCUAACUACGUGCCAGCAGCCGCGGUAA